rnacentral:rRNA from 1 species
ACUCCUACGGGAGGCAGCAGUGAGGAAUAUUGGUCAAUGGAGGGAACUCUGAACCAGCCAUCCCGCGUGUAGGAAGACGGCCUUAUGGGUUGUAAAACUACUUUUUAUACAAGGAAAGAAACGUACCCUCGUCGAGGGUGCCUGACGGUACUGUAGGAAUAAGCACCGGCUAACUCCGUGCCAGCAGCCGCGGUAAUACGGAGGGUGCGAGC